rnacentral:rRNA from 1 species
GUGCAGCAGUCGAGAAUCUUUCGCAAUGGGCGAAAGCCUGACGAAGCGACGCCGUGUGAGCGAAGAAGGCCUUCGGGUUGUAAAGCUCUUUCGCUUGGGAACAAGAGAGGCUGGCAAAUAACCAGCCGAUUUGAGGGUACCAGGUAAAGAAGCACCGGCUAACUCCGUGCCAGCAGCUGCGGUAAUACGGAGGGUGCAAGCAUUAAUCGGAUUUAUUGGGCGUAAAGGGCGCGUAGGCGGGGAUGAAAGUCAGAUGUGAAAUCCCGGGGCUCAACCUCGGAACUGCAUUUGAUACUCCAUCUCUUGAGGAUAGGCGGAGAAAACGGAAUUCCACGUGUAGCGGUGAAAUGCGUAGAUAUGUGGAAGAACACCGGUGGCGAAAGCGGUUUUCUAGCUUAAACCUGACGCUGAGGCGCGAAAGCAAGGGGAUCAAACAGGAUUAGAUACCCCCGUAGUCC